AGAGUUGUAUCCUGGCUCAGAUUGAACGCUGGCGGCAUGCCUUACACAUGCAAGUCGAACGGUAACAGGCCGCAAGGUGCUGACGAGUGGCGAACGGGUGAGUAAUGCAUCGGAACGUGCCCAGUCGUGGGGGAUAACUGCUCGAAAGAGCAGCUAAUACCGCAUACGACCUGAGGGUGAAAGCGGGGGACCGUAAGGCCUCGCGCGAUUGGAGCGGCCGAUGUCAGAUUAGCUAGUUGGUGGGGUAAAGGCCUACCAAGGCAACGAUCUGUAGUUGGUCUGAGAGGACGACCAGCCACACUGGGACUGAGACACGGCCCAGACUCCUACGGGAGGCAGCAGUGGGGAAUUUUGGACAAUGGGCGCAAGCCUGAUCCAGCAAUGCCGCGUGCAGGAAGAAGGCCUUCGGGUUGUAAACUGCUUUUGUCAGGGAAGAAAUCCCUUGGGUUAAUACCUCGGGGGGAUGACGGUACCUGAAGAAUAAGCACCGGCUAACUACGUGCCAGCAGCCGCGGUAAUACGUAGGGUGCGAGCGUUAAUCGGAAUUACUGGGCGUAAAGCGUGCGCAGGCGGUUAUGCAAGACAGAGGUGAAAUCCCCGGGCUCAACCUGGGAACUGCCUUUGUGACUGCAUGGCUAGAGUACGGUAGAGGGGGAUGGAAUUCCGCGUGUAGCAGUGAAAUGCGUAGAUAUGCGGAGGAACACCGAUGGCG
rnacentral:rRNA from 1 species